rnacentral:rRNA from 1 species
CCUACGGGAGGCAGCAGUGAGGAAUAUUGGUCAAUGGGCGAGAGCCUGAACCAGCCAAGUCGCGUGAAGGAUGACGGCCCUACGGGUUGUAAACUUCUUUUGUCAGGGGGCAAUCGGGUCCACGCGUGGGCUGAGCGAGAGUACCUGAAGAAAAAGCAUGGGCUAACCCCGUGCCAGCAGCCGCGGUAAUACGGAGGUUGCGGGCGUUAUCGGGAUUUAUUGGGUUAAAGGGGUGCGUGGGCGUAAUAUCAGUUAAGCGGUAAAAAUUCGGGGUCCAACCCCGACGUGCCGUUGAAACCGAUGUUCUUGAGUGGGCGAGAAGUAUGCGGAAUGCGUGGUGUAGCGGUGAAAUGCAUAGAUAUCACGCAGAACUCCGAUUGCGAAGGCAGCAUACCGGCGCCCAACUGACGCUGAAGCACGAAAGCGUGGGUAUCGAACAGGAUUAGAUACCCCAGUAGUU